rnacentral:rRNA from 1 species
GACGAACGCUGGCGGCGUGCUUAACACAUGCAAGUCGAACGGUAAGGCCCUUCGGGGUACACGAGUGGCGAACGGGUGAGUAACACGUGGGUGAUCUGCCCUGCACUUCGGGAUAAGCCUGGGAAACUGGGUCUAAUACCGGAUAGGACUCCUGGCUUCAUGGUGGGGGGUGGAAAGCUUUUGCGGUGUGGGAUGGGCCCGCGGCCUAACAGCUUGUUGGUGGGGUAAUGGCCUACCAAGGAGAAGACGGGUAGCUGGCCUGAGAGGGUGACCGGCCACACUGGGACUGAGAUACGGCCCAGACUCCUACGGGAGGCAGCAGUGGGGAAUAUUGCACAAUGGGCGCAAGCCUGAUGCAGCGACGCCGCGUGAGGGAUGACGGCCUUCGGGUUGUAAACCUCUUUCAGUAGGGACGAAGCGCAAGUGACGGUACCUACAGAAGAAGGACCGGCCAACUACGUGCCAGCAGCCGCGGUAA